rnacentral:tRNA from 1 species
UCCCCAGUAGCUCAGUUGGUAAAGAAUCUGCCUGCAAUGCAGGAGGCCCAGAUUCGAUCCCUGGGUGGGGAA